GAUGAACGCUAGCGACAGGCUUAACACAUGCAAGUCGAGGGGCAGCACGAUAUUAGCUUGCUAAUAUUGGUGGCGACCGGCGCACGGGUGCGUAACACGUAUGCAACCUACCCAUAAAUGAGGGAUAACCCAGAGAAAUUUGGCCUAAUACCUCAUAGUACUAAUGAGUGGCAUCACUUAUUAUUUAAAGAUUUAUGUUUAUGGAUGGGCAUGCGCAUGGAUUAGCUAGUUGGUGAGGUAACGGCUCACCAAGGCAACGAUCAUUAGGGGUUCUGAGAGGAAGGUCCCCCAUACUGGUACUGAGACACGGACCAGACUCCGUACGGGAGCAGCAGGUGAGGAAUAUUGGUCAAUGGACGAGAGUCUGAACCAGCCAAGUCG
rnacentral:rRNA from 1 species